rnacentral:rRNA from 1 species
UAAUCCUGUAGUCGAAAAUGUUGUCUCUCUUGAGUGGAUCCUGAGUACGACGGAGCACGUGAAAUUCCGUCGGAAUCUGGGAGGACCAUCUCCUAAGGCUAAAUACUCUCUAGUGACCGAUAGUGAACCAGUACCGUGAGGGAAAGGUGAAAAGCACCCCGGAAGGGGAGUGAAAUAGAACCUGAAACCGUGUGCUUACAAGUAGUCAGAGCCCGUUAAUGGGUGAUGGCGUGCCUUUUGUAGAAUGAACCGGCGAGUUACGAUUUGAUGCAAGGUUAAGCAGUAAAUGUGGAGCCGUAGCGAAAGCGAGUCUGAAUAGGGCGUUUAGUAUUUGGUCGUAGACCCGAAACCAGGUGAUCUACCCUUGGUCAGGUUGAAGUUCAGGUAACACUGAAUGGAGGACCGAACCGACUUACGUUGAAAAGUGAGCGGAUGAACUGAGGGUAGCGGAGAAAUUCCAAUCGAACCUGGAGAUAGCUGGUUCUCUCCGAAAUAGCUUUAGGGCUAGCCUCAAGUGAUGAUUAUUGGAGGUAGAGCACUGUUUGGACGAGGGGCCCCUCUCGGGUUACCGAAUUCAGACAAACUCCGAAUGCCAAUUAAUUUAACUUGGGAGUCAGAACAUGGGUGAUAAGGUCCGUGUUCGAAAGGGAAACAGCCCAGACCACCAGCUAAGGUCCCAAAAUAUAUGUUAAGUGGAAAAGGAUGUGGCGUUGCCCAGACAACUAGGAUGUUGGCUUAGAAGCAGCCAUCAUUUAAAGAGUGCGUAAUAGCUCACUAGUCGAGUGACACUGCGCCGAAAAUGUACCGGGGCUAAACAUAUUACCGAAGCUGUGGAUUGUCCUUUGGACAAUGGUAGGAGAGCGUUCUAAGGGCGUUGAAGCAUGAUCGUAAGGACAUGUGGAGCGCUUAGAAGUGAGAAUGCCGGUGUGAGUAGCGAAAGACGGGUGAGAAUCCCGUCCACCGAUUGACUAAGGUUUCCAGAGGAAGGCUCGUCCGCUCUGGGUUAGUCGGGUCCUAAGCUGAGGCCGACAGGCGUAGGCGAUGGAUAACAGGUUGAUAUUCCUGUACCACCUAUA